rnacentral:rRNA from 1 species
UAGUGGCGAACGGGUGAGUAACACGUGGGCAAUCUGCCCUUCACUCUGGGACAAGCCCUGGAAACGGGGUCUAAUACCGGAUACCACUCCUGCCUGCAUGGGCGGGGGUUGAAAGCUCCGGCGGUGAAGGAUGAGCCCGCGGCCUAUCAGCUUGUUGGUGGGGUAAUGGCCCACCAAGGCGACGACGGGUAGCCGGCCUGAGAGGGCGACCGGCCACACUGGGACUGAGACACGGCCCAGACUCCUACGGGAGGCAGCAGUGGGGAAUAUUGCACAAUGGGCGAAAGCCUGAUGCAGCGACGCCGCGUGAGGGAUGACGGCCUUCGGGUUGUAAACCUCUUUCAGCAGGGAAGAAGCGAAAGUGACGGUACCUGCAGAAGAAGCGCCGGCUAACUACGUGCCAGCAGCCGCGGUAAUACGUAGGGCGCAAGCGUUGUCCGGAAUUAUUGGGCGUAAAGAGCUCGUAGGCGGCUUGUCACGUCGGAUGUGAAAGCCCGAGGCUUAACCUCGGGUCUGCAUUCGAUACGGGCUAGCUAGAGUGUGGUAGGGGA